rnacentral:rRNA from 1 species
UGCUGGCGGCGCGCCUAACACAUGCAAGUCGAACGAGAGAUGAGGAGCUUGCUCUUCAAAUCGAGUGGCGAACGGGUGAGUAACGCGUGAGGAACCUGCCUCAAAGAGGGGGACAACAGUUGGAAACGACUGCUAAUACCGCAUAAGCCCACGGCACGGCAUCGAGCAGAGGGAAAAGGAGCAAUCCGCUUUGAGAUGGCCUCGCGUCCGAUUAGCUAGUUGGUGAGGUAACGGCCCACCAAGGCGACGAUCGGUAGCCGGACUGAGAGGUUGAACGGCCACAUUGGGACUGAGACACGGCCCAGACUCCUACGGGAGGCCGCAGUGGGGAAUAUUGCACAAUGGGGGAAACCCUGAUGCAGCGACGCCGCGUGGAGGAAGAAGGUCUUCGGAUUGUAAACUCCUGUUGUUGAGGAAGAUAAUGACGGUACUCAACAAGGAAGUGACGGCUAACUACGUGCCAGCAGCCGCGGUAAAACGCAGGUCACAAGCGUUGUCCGGAAUUACUGGGUGUAAAGGGAGCGCAGGCGGGAGAACAAGUUGGAAGUGAAAUCCAUGGGCUCAACCCAUGAACUGCUUUCAAAACUGUUUUUCUUGAGUAGUGCAGAGGUAGGCGGAAUUCCCGGUGUAGCGGUGGAAUGCGUAGAUAUCGGGAGGAACACCAGUGGCGAAGGCGGCCUACUGGGCACCAACUGACGCUGAGGCUCGAAAGUGUGGGUAGCAAACAGGAUUAGAUACCCUGGUAGUCCACACCGUAAACGAUGAUUACUAGGUGUUGGAGGAUUGACCCCUUCAGUGCCGCAGUUAACA